UCUUCUGAUACAACGGUGGUUGCCAAUCCUGGACAAGCCAUUAAAUGAAAGAGCCCCAGAGCGGGGAGACCCUCACAUAAGUCUCAGGAUGACACAACCCCUCAAGAACUCAUGGAAGA
rnacentral:pre_miRNA from 14 species